rnacentral:rRNA from 1 species
CAAGUCGAGCGGCAGCACAAGGGAGUUUACUCCUGAGGUGGCGAGCGGCGGACGGGUGAGUAAUGCCUAGGGAUCUGCCCAGUCGAGGGGGAUAACAGUUGGAAACGACUGCUAAUACCGCAUACGCCCUACGGGGGAAAGAGGGGGACUUUCGGGCCUCUCGCGAUUGGAUGAACCUAGGUGGGAUUAGCUAGUUGGUGAGGUAAUGGCUCACCAAGGCGACGAUCCCUAACUGUUCUGAGAGGAUGAUCAGCCACACUGGGACUGAGACACGGCCCAAACUCCUACGGAAGGCAGCAGUGGGGAAUAUUGCACAAUGGGGGAAACCCUGAUGCAGCCAUGCCGCGUGUGUGAAGAAGGCCUUCGGGUUGUAAAGCACUUUCAGUAAGGAGGAAAGGUUGUAAGUUAAUACCUUGCAACUGUGACGUUACCUACAGAAGAAGGACCGGCUAACUCCGUGCCAGCCGC